AGGUUGAUUACAUUAAACAAAAAGGUCUUGGUGGCAUUCAUCUUUGGGAAAUUAGUAAUGACGAUUUUGCGAAUCGUUGUAAUCGAGGCCAGUAUCCAAUCUUGACAGCUAUAAAUAGAGACUGCAGGUAAAACAAUUAUUAUGAGGAAGUUUUGGAGUUACUGUUGGUGGAAGCACAUGUGUGAACACAGAUCUUUGACAUUGUUUCCUUUCAAACUAAAUUUACAAUAUUUAAAAAAAA
rnacentral:sRNA from 1 species